rnacentral:rRNA from 1 species
UACGUAGGGGGCGAGCGUUGUCCGGAUUUAUUGGGCGUAAAGAGCUCGUAGGCGGUUCGAUAAGUCGGACGUGAAAUCUCCACGCUCAACGUGGAGGGGCCGUUCGAUACUGUCGUGACUCGAGUCCGGUAGGGGAGUGUGGAAUUCCCGGUGUAGCGGUGAAAUGCGCAGAGAUCGGGAGGAACACCCGUAGCGAAGGCGGCACUCUGGGCCGGUACUGACGCUGAGGAGCGAAAGCGUGGGGAGCAAACGGG